AUAAUCUUAAAUGUAUUCUGCCCAAUGAUUUUUUUUAAAUGGCCGCAGUACCUUGACUGUGCUAAGGUAGCAUAAUCAAUUGGCUUCUAAUUAAAGUCUGGAAUGAAAGGAAAAAUGAAGUAAUUCUAUCUUAAAAAAUUUUUUUUUAAUUUAUUUAAAUGAUGAAAAUAUCAUUUUUUAGAAAAAAGACGAGAAGACCCUUAGAGUUUUUAUUUAUUUUUUUUGUUGGGGCGACAAGUAAACAAUUAAACUUUACUAAUUUUUUUUAAUCGAUUUAAUAAUAAGAUUAAUUAAACUACCUUAGGGAUAACAGCAUUAUAUUUUAUUAUGAUUGUGACCUCGAUGUUGGACUAGGAACUUUAUGGCUAGCCGUCAUAAAAGAUUUGUUCUGUUCGAACAAUUUAUCCUACGUGAUCUGAGUUCAGACCGG
rnacentral:rRNA from 1 species